GCUCUAUCCGUCACAACCAUCACGCACGACCUUAUCCUUUCCAUCGUGGCCAGGCAUUUUCCUCUUCAAUGUUCAUACAAACGCAGACAUGUUGCCCUCUCCGUUCUCCUAAGCCGUUCUCUUCCAAUCCUUCGAUUCGUUCGUCAAGCUCCGGUGGAAUCGUGGCCGAAGGCCGGCGACGACGCAGGAGAAGCUGUACAGCAACAAGAUAACGGUGGCCAGUCAGGAGAUGGUGAAGGAGCAUGUGGACCAGGUGCCGCUUGAGCCCGCCGACACAGACGUCGCCUUCCUUGUGGUAGUGACCCAUUCGAGUAACAGAUGCUUUGUUUCUAGUUCCUUUUUUUAGCUGAUUGUGUCAGUUUUAGAGCGUAUGUGGAUAGCAGAUGUGUGCUCAUCCCACCUAUAAAGUUGUUGAUGACCACAUGCGAGGAAGUCUGAUUGGAGUUGCCUGCCAGAUUGUAUUUAAUUUUGUGAAUUGGUUUCGUUUUGCUUUGAAUAUUUCUGCAGUAAGAUAAUAGGACAACUUGCCAGUCCAAUUAGUAUAAAUUAUAGCAUAGAUAGCUCUUUCAGUCAUUGUCCUUUCUCUGGUUUUGACAACAACUUAGGUUGGGACUCAUGGCACAGGUUAGCAUUAUCCAUUUUUUAUUAGUAUUUUUGUGUCCAGAUAGACUAACACAUUGGAAUAGAGGAUAUUAAACUUAUGAGAUGCUCUACUGAUAUCAUUAAAAUGCCUACUGAACACUAAUCAAAAUGCUUAUAACACGUUGCUUAUGAUUUAAACCAGAAUUUAAAAGGCUGGUGAUUGGUUGAACACAUAGAAUUCCUAAAAGUUAUCAUUAUACUAAGCAAUAUUUUUGUUGUACAUAGGCAAUAAUCUGCUAUUAAUUAGACAAAAUACUAUCUCAGUUAGGACCAAAGGCUCUGUUCUGCAUUGGGCAAAGUGUUGUUUUUCAUACACGUGAGGUCCCUAAGGUGAAGGUAUGAAUUUUAUUUGGUGGCAACUUAUGCUAAAUCAACAAGCAAUUAAUUCAACUAGUAUAGCGUUUGUGGUGUUCUGAUUUGAGUAUUUUCAUGUAUUUUCAGGAUUUCCCAUUUUGCUUACUGAAUCAAUUUUAAUUUAUGCAGGUAAACUAGGAAGGACAGAUUUGGUUACAUAUAUACAUAGUCAAGCAUGUUGAGGUAAAUUACAAUGUCCACUAUGCAAAGCUACUACUCCAUUUAGGUAGAUAAUUGUUUUUUUAGUAGGUAGUUCUUUCUUCAGUUAGGUGAAACCCAGUUUUAUAUGUAAACAAAUCUAUUUCUACAGUUAGCCAAGUCCUAUUUUAUUAUAGAAGAUGAGGAACAUUAACAAUUAUAUCAAACUGGAUGCGUAUAGAGACGACAAAUUUGCAAAAUUUGAGGUAUAUUAUUCUCUAUGUUUUUUCCAAAGCAUGCUGCAAUGCACCAUGAUUAGAUAAUAAUCAUCUUUUCAAUUAGGCAGUACUACUGUUAUCAUUAUGCAAUGCUACUAUUUAUGGCUCGAUUGAUGAUUUUCUAGACUACAAGUUACUUGAUUAUUUUAGUGUACAGACUAUUUAGAACUACUUUUUUCAUGUUUAUACCAUUUAUAAAAUUGUUUUAGUGACAGAUGCUCUAUGCAAUCUUAAUAUAUGCAUGAUCUCGCUACAUGUUCCCCCUUUUGCUAUGCGAGAGAUAUUUUAUAUUGUAAUCCAAUUGUUUGAAUGUAUAGAAUAGUUUCUUUUUCCAUAUUAUUCUGAAUACCGAAAACAAACAUAUUUUGCUGCUCCCAAAUUAAACCAUGAUAUUAAGUGAACCUAGAAUUUAGACAAUUUAACACAUACAUGUAAGUAUUUUUAUGUAAAUAAUUUUAGUUUAUGAAUCCCAUAAUGCAGGCAACUUAGCAGACUCAUGCAAGUAUUUUUUAUAUCCAAUAAGUAGGCAUGUAUAACUACGCCAUGCAGUCUAGUUAUGCAUGUUCAAUUUAUACCUACUAUAUCCACCAUGUUCUUUUUGUUUUCUGAGCAAUAGUUUGUUUUGUUCAUAAUUUUUAGUGAAUGAGUAUAACCAUUAUUAUCAAAGUUUCAUAAGCAUUUGUUCUUGUCCAUCUAAAACUGAACUCCUUGCUUGAAGAAUUUCUUGCUGAGGAGAACUUGGGUGAGAGUGAAGUAUGUGAAUCUCAUCUUAUCAAUAACACAGCUCUUGGUAAUAAUGGAGUUCUAGAUUAUACAAAAUAAUACACGUUACAUGCAAUUUUCAUUGAGCAUUUCGUAAUUCCUUUUUGAUUGCUUGCCUUCAGUUGUAGUUCUCCUUUCAACUGUAGUUCUCUAGCUCAUGUACAGCUACCAAAAUUGAGACUAGAUAUAGCUCUUUAAUUUAACCUAUUUUUCAAUCACUAUAUGUUAUCUGAUUAUUGCUUUAUUUUGCAGUUGUUAUUUGCUUGGAAAAAUAUGCUUGUAGCUGGUGCAAUCCUAACUCACAUACUCACAUACUUUUAUUUUUAUAUUCUGAUUUAGUUUGUUGCUUAGUAUUUUUUUAUAAGAGUUGCUUGGUGUUAGUGUUGGCUCACACAAAGCUAAUGAUGCAGCUAGUCCAUGCGUGCCUUUGGUGCUAGAGGAUCAGGCACGAAGACUUUUUUUUUAUGUAUUAAUGAUACUCUCUUGUUGUAAAUGCUUUUAUUCAUAUUCUAAUAUGCUCAUAAUUUAUAAAAACUUUGCUUAUGAGGUUCCUCAAA